UCACAGCUGAAGAGUCGCACAUUAGGACGAAACGGCCUUCCAGUGA
rnacentral:hammerhead_ribozyme from 1 species